rnacentral:rRNA from 1 species
AGCUCCAAUAGCGUAUAUUAAAGUUGCUGCAGUUAAAAAGCUCGUAGUUGCAUUUCCGAGGCAAGGGAUUAGUCCGACCUUUGGUGGGUAUUUAAUCCUCUUGCCUCGUCCUUGAGUGGUGCUUCUUGGUAUUAAGUUAUCGAGGAGAUAGCCGCUCAUCGUUUACUGUGAGAAAAUUAGAGUGUUCAAAGCAGGCUUAUGCCGUUGAAUAUAUUAGCAUGGAAUAAUAAGAUAGGACCUCGGUACUAUUUUGUUGGUUUGAGAACCAAGGUAAUGAUGAAUAGGGACAGUUGGGGGUAUUCGUAUUCAGUUGUCAGAGGUGAAAUUCUUAGAUUUACGGAAGACGAACUACUGCGAAAGCAUACCAAGGAUGUUUUCA